rnacentral:snoRNA from 15 species
UGGAGAAGCCAAUGAUGGUUUUGCCAGAAUGUCUGAACCUGUCUGAAGCAUCUUAGUGAUGCUACAUCCAUAUGGCUCUGAGGCCUCUUUCUCU